UCUUAGAGAUGAGCAACAUAAGUGAUUUCUUGAGAUAGAAUUUACUCCUGGUGAAGAUGCUGUGAA
rnacentral:pre_miRNA from 1 species